GGCUACUGCUAUCGGGGUUCGAUUAAGCCAUGCGAGUUAAAUGUUCUUCGUGAACAUAGCGAACUGCUCAGUAACACGUGGAUAACCUACCCUUAGGACCGGAAUAACCCCGGGAAACUGGGGAUAAUACCGGAUAAGCCAUAGACGCUGGAAUGCCCUAUGGUUCAAAGCUCCGGCGCCUAAGGAUGGAUCUGCGGUCUAUCAGGUUGUAGUGGGUGUAACGUACCUACUAGCCGACGACGGAUACGGGUUGUGAGAGCAAGAGCCCGGAGAUGGAUUCUGAGACACGAAUCCAGGCCCUACGGGGUGCAGCAGGCGCGAACACUUUACGAUGCGGGAAACCGCGAUAAGGGAACCCCGAGUGCCAGCAUCAAAUGUUGGCUGUCCAGAUGAUUAAAAAUCAUUUGUUAGCAAGGGCCGGGCAAGACCGGUGCCAGCCGCCGCGGUAACACCGGCGGCCCGAGUGGUAGUCAUUUUUAUUGGGUCUAAAGGGUCCGUAGCCGGCCUGAUAAGUCCUUUGGGAAAUCUGACAGCUUAACUGUCAGGCUUCUAAGGGAUACUGUCAGGCUUGGGACCGGAAGAGGUAAGGGGUACUCCAGGGGUAGGAGUGAAAUCUUGUAAUCCCUGGGGGACCAUCUGUGGCGAAGGCGCCUUACCAGAACGGGUCCGACGGUGAGGGACGAAAGCUAGGGGAGCAAACCGGAUUAGAUACCCGGGUAGUCCUAGCUGUAAACGAUGCUCGCUAGGUGUCAGACACGGUGCGACCGUGUUUGGUGCCGCAGGGAAGCCGUUAAGCGAGCCACCUGGGAAGUACGGUCGCAAGGCUGAAACUUAAAGGAAUUGGCGGGGGGGCACUACAACGGGUGGAGCCUGCGGUUUA
rnacentral:rRNA from 1 species